UACACGCUGUGACUAGCAUAUCAAUAAGCGGAGGAAAAGAAACUAACAAGGAUUCCCCUAGUAACGGCGAGUGAAGCGGGAAGAGCUCAAAUUUGAAAUCUUAAAGGGUUUCCCUUUACGAAUUGUAGUUUAAAGAAGUGUUUUCUGUUGAGGUUUUGGUAAAAGUUCUUUGGAAUAGGACAUCAUAGAGGGUGAGAAUCCCGUAUUUGACCUUUACUUUCAACUUUGUGAUACACUUUCAAAGAGUCGGAUUGUUUGGGAAUGCAGUCCAAAAUGGGUGGUAAAUUUCAUCUAAAGCUAAAUAUUGGCGAGAGACCGAUAGCGAACAAGUACCGUGAGGGAAAGAUGAAAAGAACUUUGAAAAGAGAGUUAAACAGUACGUGAAAUUGUCAAAAGGGAAGCGUUUGACACCAGUGUUGUUUUUCUGAAAAUCAAUUAAAGAACUGUUUAUGCUAAGUUGUUUAGACUUUAUCAGCUAACUGUUUAGUUUUGAGCUUUUCUUUAAUGCACUUUUCAGUUAACAAGUCAACAUCAAUUUCUUUUGCUGUAAAAAAGCUUGAGGAAGGUGGCUUGAGAUUCGUCUUAAGUGUUUAUAGCCUCUUGCCUAUGCAGUCGGAGAGAUUGAGGUCUGCAGCGUAGAUCCUUCGGGGCUAAAUGCAUUUGUGCUAAGUUAUAGCAUUUCAUAGACAACUUGUUGACUAUGAUUUGUCUUGUAGCUUACUCGCUUAUGUUAUUUUACCUACGCUUAGGAUGUUGAAGUCAUCGUAUCGCGC
rnacentral:rRNA from 1 species